rnacentral:rRNA from 1 species
UGGUGGAGUGAUUUGUCUGGUUAAUUCCGAUAACGAACGAGACUCUAGUCUACUAACUAGUGAGCAGAUCAUCUUGUCUGUUCCACUUCUUAGAAGGACAAGCAAUAACA